rnacentral:rRNA from 1 species
UACGGAGGGUGCAAGCGUUAUCCGGAUUCACUGGGUUUAAAGGGAGCGUAGGUGGGCAGAUAAGUCAGCGGUGAAAUACCCAAGCUUAACUUGGGAACUGCCAUUGAUACUAUUUGUCUUGAAUAUUGUAGAGGUAUGCGGAAUAUGUCAUGUAGCGGUGAAAUGCUUAGAUAUGACAUAGAACACCAAUUGCGAAGGCAGCAUACUAUGCAAAUAUUGACACUGAGGCUCGAAAGCGUGGGGAUCAAACAGG